rnacentral:rRNA from 1 species
UUUAAUUCGAAGCAACGCGCAGAACCUUACCAGCGUUUGACAUGGUGACUAUGGUUUCCAGAGAUGGAUUCCUUCAGUUCGGCUGGGUCACACACAGGUGCUGCAUGGCUGUCGUCAGCUCGUGUCGUGAGAUGUUGGGUUAAGUCCCGCAACGAGCGCAACCCUCAUCCCUAGUUGCCAUCAUUCAGUUGGGCACUCUAGAGAAACUGCCGGUGAUAAGCCGGAGGAAGGUGGGGAUGACGUCAAGUCCUCAUGGCCCUUACGCGCUGGGCUACACACGUGCUACAAUGGCGGUGACAGUGGGCAGCUAACCCGCGAGGGUAAGCUAAUCUCCAAAAGCCGCCUCAGUUCGGAUUGUUCUCUGCAACUCGAGAGCAUGAAGGCGGAAUCGCUAGUAAUCGCGGAUCAGCAUGCCG